AUGAAUGAUGAUCUUCUACUUUUUAAGUAGUUAAGCGUGCAAAAUAAUCUGUCAAUCCACUGAAUCUAUCUAUGUGGAGAAACUCUAUGUCUGCAAACCUGACG
rnacentral:snoRNA from 1 species